GACGAACGCUGGCGGCGUGCUUAACACAUGCAAGUCGAACGGUAAGGCCCUUCGGGUACACGAGUGGCGAACGGGUGAGUAACACGUGGGUGAUCUGCCCUGCACUUCGGGAUAAGCCUGGGAAACUGGGUCUAAUACCGGAUAGGACCACGGCCUGCAUGGGUGGUGGUGGAAAGCUUUUGCGGUGUGGGAUGGGCCCGCGGCCUAUCAGCUUGUUGGUGGGGUGAUGGCCUACCAAGGCGACGACGGGUAGCCGGCCUGAGAGGGUGACCGGCCACACUGGGACUGAGAUACGGCCCAGACUCCUACGGGAGGCAGCAGUGGGGAAUAUUGCACAAUGGGCGCAAGCCUGAUGCAGCGACGCCGCGUGAGGGAUGACGGCCUUCGGGUUGUAAACCUCUUUCAGCACCGACGAAGCGCAAGUGACGGUAGGUGCAGAAGAAGGACCGGCCAACUACGUGCCAGCCGCCGCGGUAA
rnacentral:rRNA from 1 species